UUUACUAGUCCCAGUAUAGGCGAUAGAAAAGACACCAUUGGAGCGAUAGAGACUACGUACCGUAAGGGAAAGAUGAAAUAAUAAUGAAAACUAAGUUAUAAACAGCAAAGAUCAACCCUUGUACCUUUUGCAUCAUGGUCUAGCAAGAAAAACCAAGCAAAAUGAAUUUAAGUUUGCCACCCCGAAACUCAAGCGAGCUACUUACGAGCAGCUGUUAGAGCGAACCCGUCUCUGUGGCGAAAGAGUGGGAUGACUUGUUAGUAGAGGUGAAAAGCCAAUCAAGCUGGGUGAUAGCUGGUUGCCUGUGAAACGAAUCUAAGUUCACUCUUAAUUCUUCUCCAAGGAAACUCACGAACCCUAAUGAAGCGAAUUAAGGGCUAUUUAAAGGAGGUACAGCUCCUUUAAAAAAGAAUACAAUCUCUACGAGCGGAUAAAUAACAACAUAUGAACUUACUGUGGGCCCUUAAGCAGCCAUCAACAAAGAGUGCGUUAAAGCUCCGUACCUAAAAAAUAUAAAAACCUUAUGACUACCUCCCCACUAACAGGCCAAGCUAUAUACAAAUAGGAGAAUUAAUGCUAGAAUGAGUAACCAGGGUCUUCCCUCUACAACGCAAGUUUACAUCUAUACAUUAUUAACAAACCACCAAUAUAUGACAAAUCAAACAAGAAGAGUAUUAAGUAUCUUGUUAACCCGACAGAGGAGCGUCCAUUAAGAAAGAUUAAAACCUGUGAAAGGAACUAGGCAAACCCGUCAAGGCUCGACUGUUUGCCAAAAACAUAGCCUUCAGCAAACCAACAAACAAGUAUUGAAGGUGAUGCCUGCCCAGUGACUCACGUUUAACGGCCGCGGUAUAUCCUAACCUUGCAAAGGUAGCGCAAUCAAUUGUCCCAUAAAUCGAGACUUGUAUGAAUGGCUAAACGAGGUCUUAACUGUCUCUUACAGGCAAUCGGUGAAACUGAUCUCCCUGUACAAAAGCCGGGAU
rnacentral:ncRNA from 1 species